rnacentral:lncRNA from 1 species
ACCACACCUCCUCGUGCCUUAUUGCUUAAGUAUAUACGAAUAUUUACCAAGAAGUUAGUUUUCGAAUCAACUGCUUUGAAUCAUUCAAAUAUCUUGGCGCUUAGCAAGUAAGUCAAUCAGAUGCCAGCUGAGCGUGAAAGUUCAGUUGCCUUGGCUGUUCAUGAGGUACCAGAGAACCUGUUUAAUCUCAUAGAAGAGGGAAAGGACCUGAACAUGAGUGCAGCUUGUCACGAUUUGGCUAACCAACAUUACUUCAACCACAUGGCUGGGUCAAGCUACCAAAUGACUAAAGUGCCACUGAAGAAUGGGUUGGAACUGUAAGCUGUCUGCCGCCUAAUCUCACUCCAG